UUACACAUGCAAGUCGAGCGGCAGCGCGGGGCACUGGCGGCGAGCGGCGAACGGGUGAGUAAUGCAUCGGAACAUGUCCAUUCGUGGGGGAUAGCCCGGCGAAAGCCGGAUUAAUACCGCAUACGCCCUGAGGGGGAAAGCGGGGGACUUCGCAAGAGGCCUCGCGCGAAUGGGUUGGCCGAUGUCCGAUUAGCUAGUUGGUGGGGUAAAGGCUUACCAAGGCGAUGAUCGGUAGCUGGUCUGAGAGGAUGAUCAGCCACACUGGGACUGAGACACGGCCCAGACUCCUACGGGAGGCAGCAGUGGGGAAUUUUGGACAAUGGGGGCAACCCUGAUCCAGCCAUUCCGCGUGAGUGAAGAAGGCCUUCGGGUUGUAAAGCUCUUUUGUCCGGAACGAAACGGGUAGCGUGAAUAUCGCUGCCUACUGACGGUACCGGGAGAAUAAGCACCGGCUAACUACGUGCCAGCAGCCGCGGUAAUACGUAGGGUGCGAGCGUUAAUCGGAAUUACUGGGCGUAAAGCGUGCGCAGGCGGUUUUGUAAGCCAGAUGUGAAAGCCCCGGGCUCAACCUGGGAAUGGCAUUUGGGACUGCAAGGCUUGAGUGCGGCAGCAGGAGACUGGAAUUCCUGGUGUAACAGUGAAAUGCGUAGAUUUCAGGAGGAAUACCGAUGGCGAAGGCAGGGUCUCUGGAGCUGAACACUUGAGGCUCAUGCACCGAAAAGCCGUGAGGAGCAAACAGGAUUAGAUUACCCUGGU
rnacentral:rRNA from 1 species